rnacentral:tRNA from 1 species
GUAGCUCAGUGGUUGAGCGCUUGCCUGGUGUGCUUGAGGCCCUGGGUUUGAUCCCCAGC